rnacentral:misc_RNA from 1 species
UUGAUUUUCUCUUUUUUAUUUUUAUAUAACGUCAACUUGAUGUACUAAUAACUGCCUUUAUCUAUGAUUUGGGGGUUUAGGGUUUAUAUAUGCCUUUUGGAUUUUACUUGUUUCUAGAAUUUUUAGAUCGUCUUAGUUUUGAUUUAAAUUUUAUUUUUUUGGAAAAUGGAGACAAAGAAAUGACUAUAAUGUCAGUCAGUCACUAGAGCUUUUCGUUCACUUUAUUUUCUGUCCUUCCUUCUUUUGAAAUUUAUGUCAGUGCAACUUCUACAAUUAUUUGCUCAUUAUCUGAUGGCAAUGGGUUUUAAUUGCUUAGUUUAUGCACCUAAGCCCUUGUUUACUCGCUUGAAGAUUGAGCAAUGAAGCAUAGAAGCAUCAUUAAAUCGAUCAAAUUUAGGUCAUGAGUCAUGACGUCAUGUUUUGUGCUGAAACAGAUUGAGGAAUCAAUUUUUUUUUUUUUUUUGGAGAUGACAUAUUUUUUUGUUUGAGAAGGGGAUUGGAGGAGCGGGACUCGGUCAGGUGAGUGAUAACCUUGAACCACGCCGAGCUAGGCAACGAUAAUUCUAAAUUUGGCUGCCAAUGGAAUCCAUAAAUAGCUUGGAACAAAAUAUUUAAAUAAACAUCAUUGAUCAUACUAUCAGGGCGCUUUCAUUAAUUCUGAUAAAAAUUUACUUGCCUUUAAUUUUUAAAAUAUCCUGUUGAUUCUUGAAGUAAAAUUCAUUGCACUAUAGAAUAGAGCAAGAUUAGUAAGAUUUCUUUAUAUAUUUAUGUGUGUGUGUACUGUGUAAUUGAAAAUUUUUAAACUAAGGGAUGGUCAUUGACAAAAUUUGAGUGAAAGAGCAAUUAAUUCUUGCAUCAAAUGCCUUCAGUUCCCAGAUAAUCUAUUCAACUGAACACAUUAGUUUUACUGCAUGCUUUUGAUUUGUGUAAUACCACAUUUAUUGUUGUCAUAGUUUCCUGAUUUCUUUACUCUCUAUGUCUCUCGCCUCGGCCCCCCCUCCCCUGGCGUGCAAAUGUGUACCUAAAGUGGUGCUUCUUCAUCAGGCGAAUAUACUUUUAACACCCGCCUGGCUCCAUUACACACUUAUCUUGGUGAGGUUGAAGAUACCCACCGUAGAUUGGCUUUCUUGGAAGCUGGUGCCAUAUUAACUCUUCCACUGUUCUAUCUUGAAGGGGUUGUUCUUUUCCCAGGGGCCAUCCUUCCUCUUAGAGUUAUUCAUCCUAAUUUCAUAUCUGCUGUUGAGAGGGCAUUAACACAAGUUGAUGCUCCUUACACUAUAGGCGUGGUUCGUGCUUACAGGGAUCAUGAUAGCAGACAAUUAAGGUUUGCAACUAUUGGGACAACUGCGGAGAUUAGACAAUACCGGCGGUUAGAGGAUGGAUCACUGAAUGUAGUUACUCGUGGCCAGCAGCGCAUUUGUUUAAGACGACGUUGGAUUGAUGUGGAAGGAGUGCCAUAUGGGGAGUUUCAAAUUAUCCAGGAAGAUCUUCCAUUAAGGGCACCACAGGAUGCAUUUGGAAAAUUGGCACCAUUAUGUAAUUUUAAUGGCCAUAAUGUCUCAUACACGGUGCCUUCAAAAGUCUCAUUGCAUGGCCAUGGAGAUAGUGACAAUGAUUCAGAGGAAAGCCUUGAGAUUGAGGUUUCACUGGCUGAAAAGGGAACCCAUCAUUCUGUAAUCGAUUCAUGUUGUAACUAUGAUAUGAUGGAUGAAUCAACAAGCAGUGGUGAUGAGAAGUUUAAUUCAGAAAUUAAAUUUGUAAGUUCUCGCACAAGUGAUUCUGGGCCUAGUUCUACACCAGCAAAGCAAUCUCACGAAGGGGAAGGUUCCAAAAGGCACUGGAAAAAUACCAACUUAAACCAGUUUCGUACGGUUCCAAGAGCAUUCUGGCCCUACUGGGUAUACCGUAUGUAUGACUCCUAUUGCCUUGCUGAAAGGGCUGCAGACAUGUGGAAACAGAUAGUUGGGGCGCCAAGCAUGGAUGGUUUUGUGAAAAAACCUGAUCUUUUAUCAUUUUGUAUUGCAAGUAAACUUCCUGUGUCUGAAUCCACAAGGCAGGAGCUUUUGGAGAUUGAUGGCAUUUCAUAUCGCCUGCAACAAGAAAUUGAUUUACUAAAAAAUUUUAAUCUUGUUCGGUGUAAAAAUUGUCAGACUGUGAUUGCCAGGCGGAGUGAUGUGUUGGUGAUGUCUAGUGAAGGUCCCCUUGGAGCUUAUGUUAACCCACAUGGUUCUGUGCAUGAGAUAAUGACUUUUUAUAGAAUAAAUGACUUAGCACUUGAAGGGGUAGCAGCUACAGAAUACAGCUGGUUUCCUGGGUAUUGAUUAUUUCCGACUAUUUUGUACUACUAAUUAUUUUCUUGAAGAGUCAUUAGCACAACUUUUUUCUCAAGAGUGGUGAAAGUUUCUCUUUUACUCACUUGUAUAAGGGAUCAUUAUAUGUAAAAUGACUGGGAUAGUCCUCCAUGAAUCAAUGUAUUAUAAUUUGGCUAGCUUCACAGGGGAUGAGGAGAGGAAGAGAAUCUAAUCCUUUUUCUUGGGUUUAGUAGUUAGUAAUAAUUUCAGAGAGUUAAUUAUUGAGAGUGAGAAGGAUAAAUCUUGUAAACGUUGGCAGAGCAAAUACUAGUCAGAAUUAGGCUGUUACAUAUGGUAGGUUUCAAUGUGGUAACUGUCCUGAUUCUAAAGUGUUUAUGCUUCUGUUCUGUAAUUUGACACUGCAAGUAAUAAUACGCAUGGGGUGUGCUUGUGAUGAUUGAGUACUUUAAUGAUUUGCUAUAUUUUGCAGAUAUGCAUGGACAGUAGCAUACUGCGCCAAUUGUGAAUCCCAUAUGGGGUGGCUUUUCACAGCCACAAAGAAGAAGUUGGAGCCUCGAUCUUUUUGGGCAAUCCGGAGUGCCCAGGUUGCUGAUGAUAUACAGUAAGUUCAGAAUCAUAAUUUUUUGACUGCGGCACUGAAUUCUGGUUGUGGCCUUUUAAUGAACUUACCCUGUAUAUAUAACUAGUCUUUUGUCCCCUCUUGGGAAAAAUAGUACAAACUUCUGUGACCUUAGACAAGUCUAUCUUUGUCAAGUAAUAUGAACUAUAGAAAUUUCAAAGCUAUGGAAGGUCUGGCUUGGAACGAUAAGUUGUGUUCCAAAUGAAUUUUUUUUUUGGCUAGUAGCAUUUCUAUUAAAUGGGAUCCAAAUAUGAUAAUUAUCAUUCUGUGUUCCUUUAAUUUAUUAAUU